rnacentral:rRNA from 1 species
UACGUAGGGGGCUAGCGUUGUCCGGAAUCAUUGGGCGUAAAGCGCGUGUAGGCGGUCCGGUAAGUCCGCUGUGAAAGUCGGGGGCUCAACCCUCGAAUGCCGGUGGAUACUGUCGGGCUAGAGUGCGGAAGAGGCGAGUGGAAUUCCUGGUGUAGCGGUGAAAUGCGCAGAUAUCAGGAAGAACACCAAUGGCGAAAGCAGCUCUCUGGGACGGUACUGACGCUGAGACGCGAAAGCGUGGGGAGCGAACAGG